rnacentral:rRNA from 1 species
AAAGGGGGAAGAAGAACUAAGCAGGAUUCCCCUAGUAACUGCGAGUGAAGCGGGAAAAGCUCAAAUUUAAAAUCUGGCAGCUUUGGCUGUCCGAGUUGUAAUCUGGAGAAGCGUCUUCCGCGCUGGACCGUGUACAAGUCUCCUGGAACGGAGCGUCAUAGAGGGUGAGAAUCCCGUCUUUGACACGGACUACCAGUGCUUUGUGAUGCGCUCUCAAAGAGUCGAGUUGUUUGGGAAUGCAGCUCAAAAUGGGUGGUAAACUCCAUCUAAAGCUAAAUAUUGGCGAGAGACCGAUAGCGAACAAGUACCGUGAGGGAAAGAUGAAAAGCACUUUGGAAAGAGAGUUAAACAGUACGUGAAAUUGCUGAAAGGGAAACGCUUGAAGUCAGUCGCGUUUGCUAGGACUCAGCCUUGCCUCGGCUUGGUGCACUUCCUAGUGAACGGGCCAGCAUCACUUUUGGCUGCGGGAGAAAGAUCAGAGGAAUGUGGCACCUUCGGGUGUGUUAUAGCCUCUGGUUGUAUGCCGUGGCUGGGAGUGAGGAUCUCAGCACGCCUUAUGGCGGGGCUUCGGCCACCUUCGUGCUUAGGAUGCUGGCGUAAUGGCUUUAAACGACCCGUCUUGAAACACGGACCAAGGAGUCUAACAUGCCUGCGAGUGUUUGGGUGGAAAACCCGAGCGCGUAAUGAAAGUGAAAGUUGGGAUCUCUGUCGUGGAGAGCACCGACGCCCGGACCAGACCUUCUGUGACGGAUCCGCGGUAGAGCAUGUAUGUUGGGACCCGAAAGAUGGUGAACUAUGCCUGAAUAGGGUGAAGCCAGAGGAAACUCUGGUGGAGGCUCGUAGCGAUUCUGACGUGCAAAUCGAUCGUCAAAUUUGGGUAUAGGGGCGAAAGACUAAUCGAACCAUCUAGUAGCUGGUUCCUGCCGAAGUUUCCCUCAGGAUAGCAGAAACUCGUAUCAGAUUUAUGUGGUAAAGCGAAUGAUUAGAGGCCUUGGGGUUGAAACAACCUUAACCUAUUCUCAAACUUUAAAUAUGUAAGAACAACCCGUCACUUGAUUGGACCGGUUGGCGAUUGAAAGUUCUAGUGGGCCAUUUUUGGUAAGCAAAACUGGCGAUGCGGGAUGAACCGAACCCGAGGUUAAGGUGCCGGAAUCACGCUCAUCAGACCCCCAAAAGGUGUUAGUCAUUCUAACCGCAGGACGGUGGCCUGGGAAUCCGAAUCCGCUAAGGAGUGGUAACACUCCCCUGCCGAAUGAACUACCCUGGAAAUGGUGGCGCUCAACCGGUUACCUAACUUCCCGCCCCCGUUAAAGUAACUUUAACAUAAGCGCGGUUGAAGUUUGGAAAACCUAGGAGUUCGGGGACUCCCCCCCCCCAUCUCUGUGUGGGGAAGAAAGGAAAAAAAAAAGAGGAAAAAAAAAAAGUUGGG